GGCUCCACAUUAUGAAGGCUACAACUAGAGUCCAAUUUCAAAUUGUCAUUUAACUUAUGAUUCAUAGUAUUCAGCAACGUUCAUGGUGUACCUAUUCAAGAAACAAGACACUAAAGUCUCCUAUUUUUUUUUUGUUUGUUGAACUUUCAUUUCUAAAUACAUUUACAUAUGCUGCAAAUGGAUGUUAAAGGCAGCAACGUACUACUGAUUUCAUAUGCAGCAAUUUGACGUUGCAAUUUAUAGAAGAAAUGUAUAGUUUUCAUCAAGAACAAUAUUCGAAUCUGAGCACCGUUGCGAUUUCGUUGUUCUGUCUUAUCGUGUUGUUGAAUUCGGGCUUUCUUCGAAGUGAAGUAAGGUGGAAGAAGAUUAAUUCUUGGCAUAUGAGAUUGGGAAGCCCGGGAUCUGAUUUAUGGUUAGCUUGGAGCGGAUAAGGUACAGAUACUCGGUUUGGUGACCCUCCAGCUUAGUACUUCUGCUCAGCUGUUUUGGAGAGCUCCAUUGUUCGGAGCCAAGAUUAUUUUGGUAUAGAUCUUUUGAUGUUGACAUAUGCAUAUCCAGGGGUACGGUGGGGUCCUGUCCCGUCAUAUUUCACUUUUAUACUCUUAGAGGUCUAUAGACAUAUGUAGGUUGUGGUCGUCUAUGUCGAUACGAUUUGUUGGGGUAUUUCCAUAUAUAGUGGCAGCCUUGUCGGCUUGCAUAUUAUGUCGUGUUUUGGUUAGCUAUGACUCCUCAGGAGACAGGUUAUUAUGAUAUAUGGCGUUAUGAAUCUUU